rnacentral:rRNA from 1 species
AAAAUGACUCUCGACAACGGAUAUCUCGGCUCUCGCAUCGAUGAAGAACGUAGCGAAAUGCGACACUUGGUGUGAAUUGCAGAAUCCCGUGAACCAUCGAGUCUUUGAACGCAAGUUGCGCCCAAAACCUUCGGGUUGAGGGCACGUCUGCCUGGGUGUCACGC